rnacentral:rRNA from 1 species
CGAUUCAUAAUAACUGAUCGAAUCGCAUGGGCUUUGCCCGCGAUACAUCAUUCAAGUUUCUGCCCCAUCAGCUUUCGAUGGUAGUGUAUUGGACUACCAUGGCUUUCACGGGUAACGGAGGAUUAGGGUUCGAUUCCGGAGAGGGAGCCUGAGAAACGGCUACCACAUCUAAGGAAGGCAGCAGGCGCGUAAAUUACCCAAUCCUGACUCAGGGAGGUAGUGACAAGAAAUAACGGACCGAAGCCUAUGUUUCGGGAUUGCAAUGAGUAGAAUUUAAACCCCUUUACGAGGAUCAAUUGGAGGGCAAGUCUGGUGCCAGCAGCCGCGGUAAUUCCAGCUCCAAUAGCAUAUAUUAAAGUUGUUGCAGUUAAAAAGCUCGUAGUUGGAUUUCUGGGAGGGCGCCAAUGUCAGCUGAUGCUUGUGCAGCGGUGCCCUUCCAUCCUUCUGUUAACGUUUCUGAUAUUCAUUUAUUGGUCUCGGGCUCAGAUAUUUUACCUUGAGAAAAUUAGAGUGUUCCAGGCAGGCUUGCGCCGGAAUACAUUAGCAUGGAAUAAUAGAAUAGGACUUUAGUCUCCUUUGUUGGUUUGAGGGACUGAAGUAAUGAUUAAUAGGGAUAGUUGGGGGCAUUAGUAUUUAAUUGUCAGAGGUGAAAUUCUCGGAUUUGUUAAAGACUAACUUAUGCGAAAGCAUUUGCCAAGGAUGUUUUCAUUAAUCAAGAACGAAAGUUAGGGGAUCAAAGACGAUCAGAUACCGUCCUAGUCUUAACCAUAAACUAUGCCGACUAGGGAUCGGAGGCGCGCCUUAUCCGCCUUCGGCACCUUAUGAGAAAUCAAAGUCUUUGGGUUCUGGGGGGAGUAUGGUCGCAAGGCUGAAACUUAAAGGAAUUGACGGAAGGGCACCACCAGGAGUGGAGCUUGCGGCUCAAUUUGACUCAACACGGGAAAACUUACCAGGUCCAGACAUAGUGAGGAU